CUGGUUGAUCCUGCCAGUAGUCAUAUGCUUGUCUCAAAGAUUAAGCCAUGCAUGUCUAAGUAUAARCAACUUUAUACUGUGAAACUGCGAACGGCUCAUUAUAUCAGCAAUUAUUUAUUUGAUGGUCUCUUACUACAUGGAUAACSGUAGUAAUUCUAGAUCUAAUACAUGCGUAAAGACCCGACUCUUGCGGGGAGGGUUGUAUUUAUUAGAUUAAAAACCAAUGCGGGUUAUGCCCGGUUUCAUGGUGAGUCAUAGUAACUUUUCGGAUCGCAUGGCUUCACGCCGGCGACAGUUCAUUCAAAUUUCUGCCCUAUCAGCUCUCGACGGUAGUGUAGUGGACUACCGUGGCAUUUACGGGUGUCGCAGAAUUAGGGUUCGAUUCCGGAGAGGGAGCCUGAGAAAUGGUUACCACAUCUAAGGAAGGCAGCAGGCGCGCAAAUUCCCCAAUCCUCUCAUAGGGAGGUAGUGACAAUAAAUAACAAUACCGGGCCUCACAGGUCUGGYAAUGUAAUGAGUACAGUUU
rnacentral:rRNA from 1 species